UACGUAGGGUGCGAGCGUUGUUCGGAAUUACUGGGCGUAAAGCGCGCGCAGGCGGUCUUCCAAGUCAGUGGUGAAAGCCCGGAGCUCAACUCCGGAACUGCCAUUGAAACUGUUGGACUUGAGUAUGAGAGAGGUGAGUGGAAUUCCCAGUGUAGAGGUGAAAUUCGUAGAUAUUAGGAAGAACACCAGUGGCGAAGGCGGCUCACUGGUCCGGUACUGACGCUGAGGUGCGAAAGCGUGGGGAGCAAACAGG
rnacentral:rRNA from 1 species